CAGGGUUUAUAUGGUGUUUGGAGAUUAAACUGGACGCCUUUGAGAACACUUGGAGGAAAAAAUGUUUGUUUGUUUUUUACGAAAAAACAGUUUUAAAUAUGGCGUGACAAGACUCUCUUUCAAGUCUUACUAGCUUUCUUUUCUAAAACACCUUUGUAGGUGUACAUUAGUCUGGUAACUAUUGUUCCAGCUAAUUAGUAGGACCCUACUAGUUUCUUGUAUUAAAUACUUAUAGGUCCUUCACGUACCUUAUGCUUCAGACAUUCAGUAGACUAGAGUGUAAAGAAAUCACAUAUAGGACUACGGUUACUUUUAAUUGAUUCUGGAAGAACUGGUGCUAGCUGUUCUGUUUUAAUGGGCUUGGAUAUCAUUAGUUGUACAUUGCAGGGUUGUACAUUGCAGGCUUGUUAUGUGACUGUUUUAUCACAUUAUGAGGUACUUGUUUAUUGUCCAAUAAAACAAAGUGGGCAGAUGUCCCAACAAUAUACCACUCACGUACCCUCUGAGAAUGGCUGUGCUGGGUCCAGGGGCAGGAGGUAAGUAUAAAACAGCUCUCACAGCAAUCAAAUAUAUAAUUUAUAUAUAUAAUUUAUCUUAAAGCUGUUAUACACAUAUUUGACAAGUAAAAAACAGAUAUUAGUGCAUAAGCCAACGGCACUCACGCACCGGUUAACUCCG